GCUAAAUCCUGGACAUUCUUAAUCGAAUAUACUCUAUCUCUUUAGCAGAAAAAAGGCAAUUUCCAUGUGAAUGCAGGUUAGGGCCUGUGUGUAUGUAGUUGGGUCCAGAGCAUAGUUGAUUUUUUAGGUCCAAUUGUACCUUAUUCGAUCGUUUUUCUCCUUAAAGCUUUAGGCCCUACUCUGGUGUUUUGGUACAAUUUCAACGAGUAGCAAUCUCCUAUCUUUCUUCUAUAAAAAAAACAAAUUCUGCACCACAGCACUUGAGGAUAAGGCUUAAUGCAAAUGUUCAUUUACGGCACGUAUGAAUGGAGUUUAGCCUUUAUAGUUUGUUCAUUGUGAGUACUAGCCGAAAAAGAAGAGGGUAUUAAAAUUUAGUUUGUUCCAGUACUUUUCGGACUAAAACCUGUGGAAAUGUCAAACUACAAUUUUACUCUCUCUAGAGAGAGUAACAGGAGAACAGAUGUAGAAGUGUACGGGAACGCAAAAAGCACUUUUUCCAGCAGAAACGUCAUUUGGUUUGUUGACUUGUCAUUAGUACAAGACUGAUUGGGCUGAAAGAUCACUAAAUAACUAUUAAAAUCUAUAUAAUUAAUAAUAAUUGCAUAUAUAUUCGAAUAUUUCAUUAUUUAUUUCCAUUUCUUAAGAAAUGUAAGGUUAUUUGCUUUCACCGCUUCUGUUUUUGUACACAAAUGCAACUCUACCUAUCGUUUGACACUUUUCAUGAAUUUGCCAGAAGAAAAACUCCGGACUAACAGCCUUAUUAUGUAUCUCGAACGAUAGGCCACACGAACGAUUCGUCUGUAGGCGAUAUCGUCACGGAUUGCAAUUUUGUAACUGUCGUUCGUCUUCGUCUUGUCUUUACGUCGAUUACGUUGCAAUCGUCUCGGUUACGUUGUAUGAUGUUGCCGGAUGAAAUUUUGAUGUACUUCCUAAGAGUUUUUCUUAGAUUUCUAAUAUUUUCAGCUUAUUUCAAUGCUUUUUAUUUUAAAUUGGCAACAUCGGAAUUGCUUACAUUUCGGUUUUGCUUAAAAGUGUUUUGGUUGUGUUGCGGAAAGAAAUAUAAUUAAUUAAAAAAUUAAUUUUUAAAAAUGUAUGCUGCUAUAGCGCUAAUGGACGCCGAGGAAUCCGAAGAAAGGGAAAGGCGGAUACAGAGGAGGAGAUUGCGAGACCACACGAAUGUAAUGGAACUACCUGAGACUGAGUAAGUUCAAGAUUAGCAAAUAAUUUUUGUAUACUACAAUGUAUUCAUUUCUAGGUUUGUUGCAAAUUUCCGAAUCAACAAAGAAAUAUUCCAAUACAUAUUAAAUGAAUUAAAAGAGCACAUGGCCACAUCACAUAGAAGCACCCACCUAUCGCACCAGCUAAAACUCGCGACUUUUUAAAGAUUUCUCGCCACCGGCAGUUAUCAAAAAUCUGUUGGUAACGAAAAUAUUUCGUCGAUGGUGCAGUCAACUGCAGCCAACGUGAUCAGGGAAUGCCUAAAUAUUUUUGAGGACCAUUUUUGCCAGAAAUGGGUGAAUUUUAGGAGAAACAUCGAUGAGGAAAAUGCAGUUAAAGAAUAUUUCUUUGAGAAAUACGGAAUACCUGGGGUUAUUGGUUGUGUUGAUGGAACACACGUUCGUAUUAAGUCGCCAGGAAGUGACAACCACCUCUUAUACCUCAACCGCAAGCGUUUUUACAGUCUUAAUGUAAUAGCGAUAUGCGAUCACAACAUGGUAAUCACAUUUGUUGACGCUAGGCAUCCAGGGGCGAAUCAUGAUUCAUUUGUUUGGAAUAGUUGCGUUCCAGAUGCUUCACGAAAUUCACGAUUUGCAGGAACAGCUGUUUUCCCCAUUAAUAAACCUUAUGGGACUUCCUGUAAAAACCUGCAAAUCGUGAAGCAUCUGGAACGCAACUAAUGUGGGUAACGCAGAACAGGAGCUAAAAUCUGAUUAUAACAAUGGAAAAACCAACACAUGGCUACACGCCAUACUUGAUGACGCCAUUCAGAAGCACAGCCGAUGAAAUUCAACGAAUUUACAACACAAAGCACUCGAAUGCUCGUAAUGUAAUUGAGAGAUGUUUCGGUGUUUUGAAAAACCGAUUUCGAUGUAUAAUUGGCUCGAGAGGGCUACACUAUUCACCAGAAAAAGUUACACAAAUUGUAAAUGUGUGCUGUGCUAUUCAUAACGUUUGUAUAUUUUUCAAACAUCAAAUUCCAUUGGAGAGCCCAGAUAUGGAGAAUCUUGUUAGUUACGAAGAACUUGAAAACAGUAACAUUUCGAAUACAGCUGCCCUUAUUAGAAUGAGAGUAGCAGAGAGUUUGUUAUAAACGCAGUUUUAUUAUAAAGUAUGUGUGUCUAGAUUUGAGGUACACCAGCAAAAUUCAUUUGUCUUAAAAUUAAUAAAAUAUUUACAUAAAAAUUCAACAAAAUAUCUUUUCAGUCUUAAAUCCUAAAUCUACAUAUAAACUAAGUAAAUGCAACAAAAUGUCAAUUCACACUUAAAUCUAAAAAAUAUUUAUACAAAAAAAAAAAUAAAAUUUCACUUCAUUACUCUCACAAUAGUGGUAUGAAAAUUAAUUCCGGAAGUACUCCAAAAAUUGCAGAUUCGCGUUCCACUGCAGCAGUUAAUUUGUUUGUGGCAUCCACCUGCAGCAUUGAUGCCUCUGCCAUUUUUUGCAGCCUCAGCCUGCACUUUAGCGGCUUCUGCUUGGACUUUGGCAGAUUCAGCCAUUGUCUCUUGGAAGGUACACUUCCUAUUAGUAGAACGUAACGUGUGCGUUGGUGUAGGACGGGUUGUCUGUGUAGUGGGAGUCACUACUCCCACUGGUAGUGGUUGGUUGUGCCUUAUAGGAGAUUUAAGGGUGGUUGUUUGUUGCUUUCGUUGGUCAAGUGUUGGCGAUUCAGUCACAAGUAAAGGAGGCAUUUCCUCCAACGACGAAUGUCUUGACAUGUUAGAGGUCGCCGUCGAAGGAAUGCCGAAAACUCUGCCGCUCGGGGCUGCUGACCUUGAAAUAAAAACCAGGCUGUCUAUGGCCUGCUCCAUUUCGGAAAGCGGAGAGUGACGGAAUGGGCCACCACCGGCAGCAGUAAGUCUUCGUGUGUUUUCGGCAAUCUUCUUUUUUGUCCGGCUUUUCAAGUCAGCCCAUAUCUUGAAAAAUUAAUGGGUCGAUUACGGAUGGCAACACAACCACGCUUCGGUUGUCAGCUGGCAAUGCAACUGGAAAGAAAAUUUGUAUUACGAAUGGCAACUAUCGUCAGUUGCUGUAGAGUUAUCGAUAAUCGAAAUUUGACAGUUCAACAACCAGCAAGCGGCUGCAAACAAGCUGUGCGAGUAAAAUUAAAUUAUUAAAAUAAAGAGUUUUAAA